GGGGAUUAGUGGCGAACGGGUGAGUAACACGUGGGCAAUCUGCCCUGCACUCUGGGACAAGCCCUGGAAACGGGGUCUAAUACCGGAUACUGACCUGCCGAGGCAUCUCGGCGGGUCGAAAGCUCCGGCGGUGCAGGAUGAGCCCGCGGCCUAUCAGCUUGUUGGUGAGGUAAUGGCUCACCAAGGCGACGACGGGUAGCCGGCCUGAGAGGGCGACCGGCCACACUGGGACUGAGACACGGCCCAGACUCCUACGGGAGGCAGCAGUGGGGAAUAUUGCACAAUGGGCGCAAGCCUGAUGCAGCGACGCCGCGUGAGGGAUGACGGCCUUCGGGUUGUAAACCUCUUUCAGCAGGGAAGAAGCGAGAGUGACGGUACCUGCAGAAGAAGCGCCGGCUAACUACGUGCCAGCAGCCGCGGUAAUACGUAGGGCGCAAGCGUUGUCCGGAAUUAUUGGGCGUAAAGAGCUCGUAGGCGGCUUGUCGCGUCGGUUGUGAAAGCCCGGGGCUUAACCCCGGGUCUGCAGUCGAUACGGGCAGGCUAGAGUUCGGUAGGGGAGAUCGGAAUUCCUGGUGUAGCGGUGAAAUGCGCAGAUAUCAGGAGGAACACCGGUGGCGAAGGCGGAUCUCUGGGCCGAUACUGACGCUGAGGAGCGAAAGCGUGGGGAGCGAACAGGAUUAGAUACCCUGGUAGUCCACGCCGUAAACGUGGGCACUAGGUGUGGGCAACAUUCCACGUUGUCCGUGCC
rnacentral:rRNA from 2 species